UGUUGGUUUUGACCCUGGCCUGUGACCUCGACUACGUCCCUGACUCCUGAUUUCAUACUGCUCUGCCUGAUUUGUAUCAGCCAGUGUUUCUAUUACAAUGGGAAUAAUCAUGUCAGUCACAUCACUCUUGAAUCUGGAGACAAGAAAUGCCAUUAAUUUAAUCAUGCAGACAGGGGACAAGAGGAUUAAUCCAUCCCUUCUUGUGAAAAAAGAAAAAGUCAUCUUAUUUGCUUCUUGUUUCUAUGAUAAAUUGUCACGGGUUUCAAUUACUUAUACAUGUUGUCCGUCUUACCGUUACAUAAGGUAAUGGGGAAGAAUGGUAUAUUUCCCUGUAAGAAAUAUAUUUCAUUUGCUAUUCAA